rnacentral:rRNA from 1 species
UACGGAGGGUGCAAGCGUUAUCCGGAUUCACUGGGUUUAAAGGGUGCGUAGGAGGGCAGGUAAGUCAGUGGUGAAAUCUCCGAGCUUAACUUGGAAACUGCCGUUGAUACUAUCUGCCUUGAAUAUUGUGGAGGUGAGCGGAAUAUGUCAUGUAGCGGUGAAAUGCUUAGAUAUGACAUAGAACACCAAUUGCGAAGGCAGCUCGCUACGCAUAUAUUGACUCUGAGGCACGAAAGCGUGGGGAUCAAACAGG